UGGGGAAUCUUCGGCAAUGGGCGAAAGCCUGACCGAGCCAUGCCGCGUGAGUGACGAAGGCCUUAGGGUCGUAAAGCUCUUUCGCCAGGGAUGAUAAUGACAGUACCUGGUAAAGAAACCCCGGCUAACUCCGUGCCAGCAGCCGCGGUAAUACGGAGGGGGUUAGCGUUGUUCGGAAUUACUGGGCGUAAAGCGCACGUAGGCGGACUAUUAAGUCAGGGGUGAAAUCCCGGGGCUCAACCCCGGAACUGCCCUUGAUACUGGUAGUCUUGAGUUCGAGAGAGGUGAGUGGAAUUCCGAGUGUAGAGGUGAAAUUCGUAGAUAUUCGGAGGAACACCAGUGGCGAAGGCGGCUCACUGGCUCGAUACUGACGCUGAGGUGCGAAAGCGUGGGGAGCAAACAGGAUUAGAUACCCCCGUAGUCC
rnacentral:rRNA from 1 species